rnacentral:tRNA from 1 species
GUUUUGACUUGUUUGGGGGUGUUGUUAGGCGUUGUUGUGAAAGGGGGUUCAAAGCG